GAAUGGAGGAAGUAUGAUAAUGUGCACAUAAAUUAAAUUGGGUCUUUAGGCAUGUCCUCUCUGAUGCCAUUUGACUUUGAUUUGGGGGCAUAGUUCCUCAGCAAAACA